rnacentral:lncRNA from 1 species
CUCGAGCAUCAGCCAUAAAACCCCCCUGGGGUGCCGGUGUGGGUGAUGGAUGCGAAUUUCUUUGACUUAGCAGCUGAGUCAGUGUGGCGACCUGUUGUCUGAGCUCUUCAAAGGCUCCCGUAGUGACGACUGCCGGCUGGGGCUCUGGCACUUCUGAUGAUUCCUCUUGAGGAACAGGGAUAUCCUCAGGAGGGGGUUGGUUUGGAGCGGAUGAGCUUGCUGGUGGAAGACCUGAACGUGUGUUUACCAUGACUUUUGGUAGCGCUUCCCACAGACGGCGCCAAUGAUGCUACCAAAAAUCGUACCUGUAGAUUUUCCGAGCUUGAUGACUGAUGAUGAGCACGAACGUGAUCUUCCGAUACCUGAAACAAAGGCAACGAGGUGUGUUCUCGUCGCCCCUCCGAUACUUAAGUCAGAAAGGGAAAUAUAUGCGUGAGGCUAUAUGCUGAAGAACAAUGAGAAAACGUACCUGAAUAAUGG